rnacentral:rRNA from 1 species
CACGUAGGGCGCAAGCGUUGUCCGGAAUUAUUGGGCGUAAAGAGCUCGUAGGCGGACUGUCACGUCUGCUGUGAAAAGCUGGGGCUUAACCCUGGCCUUGCAGUGGAUACGGGCAGACUAGAGGUAGGUAGGGGAGAGCGGAAUUCCUGGUGUAGAGGUGAAAUUCGUAGAUAUCAGGAGGAACAACAGUGGCGAAGGCGGCUGUCUGGCCCGAUACUGACGCUGAGGCACGAAAGCGUGGGGAGCAAACAGG